CAAGUAGCUGCACCAUGGUCCAGAUUUUACAGGCUGUGGCUACAAAUAGGGAUGUGCAAAAAAUCCCUAAACUGAACCAGCCUCUUUGAUUCAGUUUAUAUCGAUUUUCAAUUUGAUUUGAUGUCGGUUCAAGACAUGGCAGCUAAUCAUACUGGAAUAUCUUAUGAACUGCCCACCAUAUAUUUCUUUUGAUUUAUUAGUUAUUUUAUUUUUUAAUUUCCACAGAUAUAUUUACAAUAGGUUAGUAUAAUAAUUUUUUUUACCAAAAAACUCCGGCAAGUUGUUAUUUUCUCGAAUCAAAGAGAUAAGUAGUAUUCAUUAAUUGACCUUGGAUGCUGCACUGUCUUAAAAUGAAUCAAACCACAAACCUACACGUAUAAAUAAGAACAAAAAAAAAUAGAAGGAAAAGAAAGCAAUAAAGAUAUAUAUUUGUGCGAGAGUGGUGGAUCCCGUCCAACUAAAAAUUUCAUCUUAAAAUGUUCUUGAUACUAGAAAAAGAAAAUGGCCUUCCUGAGAGGAGCUGGGAUACUGAAUUAAACUGCACGAAAUGAGACGUAGUCUCUGCAGCUGCAGCAGCCGCUAGCUGUAGUUCAUAAGAGCAAAAAAUAAAUGGAAACGCAGCCCAUAUGGAAGGAACUACAGUUCAUAAGAGCAAUAAUAUAUAUGUACUUGGGGUGGGGGAGAGCUGUAGAUAUUCCAGCCGUCCUUUUUUGAGGGGGAUUUCCAUACUUGCACAAGCACAAACCAGAAACAGAAUUACUUUGCACAGAACAAACACACACACACACACACAGAGAGAGAGAGAGAGAGAGAGAAG
rnacentral:lncRNA from 1 species